UCUAUCAUAUUCGUAUCAUCGUCCAUCGCGAUCGAAAACGUCGAAAAUCGUCGCAAAAUACUCAAAGCGUGUCACGGAUCGAACAGGAGGCAACCUGAUCGAACAGGCCAGCCGAUCGGCUAGCAUCUUGCCAGCCGAUCGAGCAGCCCACUCGAUCGGAGCCCCUGGCCGAUCGGCUGACACUUCCCUCUUUUGGAAGCCUAUAAAUAGGGCUGUCAUUGUCAUACUUUCCAUUUUUGGAAAGCUCUGACCGAACCAGCUAUCUUCUUCACCUUUUCUCAGAUUUCUCUCAAUCCCGUAUGGCACUCGAUUGGGAAUGCCAGUCGAUCGAACAGACCGUUCGAUCGAGUGACAUUCAGUUGGGGACUAACCUUGAAGCUCCUAGCCGAUCGAGUGAGCUAGCCGAUCGAGUGAGCUAG
rnacentral:lncRNA from 1 species